AGUACGUGAAACCGCUUAGAGGUAAACGGGUGGAUCCGCAAAGUCGGCCCGGGGAAUUCAACUUGCCGUUUGGGCUGCGGGCGUUGGGUCAGGGAUCCGUAAAGACCCGCCUGGCGUUCGGCAGUCGUCGGCGAGUGCACUUUCCUCGGGUAGAGCGCCACGACCGGUUUCGGAGCGGUCAUAAGCCGGCUGGGAAGGUGACUUCCUCCUCGGAGGAAGUGUUAUAGCCCGGCCAGGUCGGCUCGUUCCGAGACCGAGGAUUUGCCGCGUCUCACUGCCCCUGGCUCUCUGGGUGCGUUCGACUGGGGAAGCACUGCUUGCAGUUCUCUCCGACUGCGUGCCUUGAUUGGUCGGGAAGCACGAGGCGCUUCGGGUCAGUGGCGAAUCGGUCGGUCCUCCACCCGACCCGUCUUGAAACACGGACCAAGGAGUCUAACAUGUGCGCAAGUCAUGGGGUUCUGUACGAAACCUAAAGGCGCAAUGAAAGUGAAGGUCAACCUCCGGUAGGCCUAGGUAGGAUCCCCGCGAGGGGCGCACUACCGGCCCGUCUCGACCACAUCGUUGGUGGGGCGGAGCAAGAGCGUACACGUUGGGACCCGAAAGAUGGUGAACUAUGCCUGAGUAGGACGAAGCCAGAGGAAACUCUGGUGGAGGUCCGUAGCGAUUCUGACGUGCAAAUCGAUCGUCAAACUUGGGUAUAGGGGCGAAAGACUAAUCGAACCAUCUAGUAGCUGGUUCCCUCCGAAGUUU
rnacentral:rRNA from 1 species